rnacentral:snoRNA from 1 species
CCCCUGGAUGAUGAGGACUUGACGUCCUACGUCCUGGCGGGCCUCGACGAAGACUUCGAACCGGUGGUCUCGUCACUGGUCGGGAAGAUGGAGCCCGUUAGCUUCACUGAGAUCUACUCGCAGCUCCUGAGCUUCGAGU